rnacentral:rRNA from 1 species
GACAGAGGGGGCAAGCGUUGCUCGGAAUCGCUGGGCGUAAAGGGCGCGUAGGCGGGCUGGCAAGUCAGUCGUGAAAUCUCUCGGCUCAACCGAGAAACGUCGGCUGAUACUGCCGUUCUUGAGGGAUGCAGAGGAGACUGGAAUUCCCGGUGUAGCGGUGAAAUGUGUAGAGAUCGGGAGGAACACCGGUGGCGAAGGCGGGUCUCUGGGCAUCUCCUGACGCUGAGGCGCGAAAGCGUGGGGAGCAAACGGG